CAGCAGAACAGAAAAUCACACCAGGAUACUAUAAUGAUGUCAUCACUGUUGGACUGUCGGCAGAUCGUCAGACAGCAGACGUGCCAGAGCAUUAUGAUGAUGUCAUCAUUGUCAGACAGAACAUUCAAGGUAUAAAUGCAGACGUGUCAGAGAAUUAUGAUGAUGUCAUCAUUAUUAGACAGAACAGUCAAGGUAUAAAUGACUAUGAGGAUGUGGAGGAGGAGUCAAAUUGAUCUAACAGCCAUGCCUAUAAAAUCAUAAGGGUCUGAAGAUAUUAGCAGCUUAUGGGACCUUUAUUAUUGCUAUUAAAUCUUCAUUGCCUUUGACAUCAGAUGAUCUAUUACCAGAAUUAUAUGCAAAAAAAUUCUAAUAUAUUUUAAUCCUUACUAUAUUAGCUUAUCAUUUAUAUAUUACUUCAGUGGGGUAUUUCAGGAAGCAGGUUAUAUGACCUACCCGGGUAAGUUUAGGAGUAAGUAAGCAGAUAACUCUCUUUUCGGUUCCAAAAAUGGAGGUAACUUUCGGGUUAUGUAAGUAUGUACGCAUAUAUUUUGCAUAAUAUUAUAAUGUUAAAGCAUUUAUUUUAUUACAUUUACAGUCAUGAGUAUUAAUUGCUGUCUAUUUCUGUCUUAGAAAAUGUAUGUUUUCUUUUUAAAAAUAAAAUACUUUUUUA